AGUAUUUCCAGAUAAGACCAAUAAAAAUAAAUAAGGCCAAUAAAAAUAAAGAACAGGGCUGGAGUUGUAGCUUAGUGGUAGAACACUUGCCUCACAAGCAUGAGGCACUGAGUUGGAUCCUCAGCACCACAUAAAAAUAAAUAAAUAAAAAUACUGUGUCCAUCUGCAGCUAAAAAGAAAUAUAGAACAGACACCUAGUUAAAUUUGAAUUUCAGAUAAACAACAAAUAAUUUUUAUAAGUAUAUCCUAAAUAUUCCAUGGGAUAUACUUAUAUCAAAAAUAUCUGAUGCUUAUCUAUCUAAUUAGGUAUGUGUCCUUUAUUUGUAUUUACUAAAUUUGGCAACCCAUAAGGGAUGCCUUACUACUUCUGCAUCCCAGGGCCUUGGGAAUUUUUCUCUGUCUAGACCAUGGAAAUAACUAGCUUAUGCAUGUCCUGGAACUUAUGUGGGCUUCAAGGUCACAUUAGGAGACAAGCCUGUCUCUGAUGGCCUUUCAGUUUCUGGCUCAGCCUAGCAGUCAUCUUGUAAACAGCAGUCCACUUCACGCUUUGACUAUAACCCUUGCUGCUCUGAUACUGUGGCUUAUUUUUAAAUUAACAUUCCCCCCAUCCUUUUCCCUCUCCCCCUCCCUACCCACAGGGGAAGCAAGAUUAACCUUCCUGUACUAGGCUGAGUUAUCUGUCCUGCAGCUCACAAACCACAGGAAUGAAGAAAUCCAGACUUUGGGGCUGGCACCUACAGAUCUAAGAAACAGCUAUCUCUCAAGUCUACAAAUGAAUUAUAACUCCUGACAGGGUACAGCUGGAGUGUAGCCUUUGUAUCCCCUCUUUAAAAGCCCACUGUUCCCCCCAAUACUUACAAUCAUAGCCUCUGGGAGAGAAGCCCAUUUUUUUUUUCUUCUUUUGUACCAGGGAUUGAGUCCAGGGAUGCUUAGCCACUUAGCCACAUCCCCAGCCCUUUUUAUUUUUUUAUUUUGAGACAGGGUCUUGCUAAGUUGCUUAGGACCUCGCUAAAUUGUUGAAGCUGGUUUUGAACUUGCAAUCCUCAUACUUCAGCCUCCAGAGCCAUUGUGAUUACAGGUGUGCGCCACUGGGCCCAUCUAGAAGCCUACUUUACUAGCAAAGCAAUAAAGCUACUUUUUCCUUUUUCUCAAAAACCUUGUCCUUGUUAUUAGGUUGGCAUCAGGGACAAAGACUGAGCUUUCGAUAUCAAUCUAACCCAUGCUACUGUGGCCUUCCACAGUAGAUGGAUGAAUAGCUGUCACCUCUGAUCAUGAUCAUGUGACCUAACAAAGAGGGGAUCAAGGUUCUCUUUCUCUAGCCAGCAGCAUCUGCCAACGUGUCACAUCCUGGCCCUGUAGGUGGCCCAGAAGCCUGUAGCCAUCAUUCAGUCAGAACUUAUACCAAGGUCCAGUUCAGAGGGCUGUGGAGGAAAAGGGAGCUGGGCUCUGUCCUGAGCCUAUGCAGUGCAGAUCAUGGAAUUCAUUUGUUAAGAGGCUAGCUGUCAGGAAAUAGCAGCACCACAGCUUGGCUAGACCCCGCAGAGUUCAAGGAGUUUGCGUUCUAACCUCAUUUGGAUCAGACCACAUUGGAUCCUCACCAUUUCAUUGUCCCAUGAGCAAAGAUGAUAUUCCAGUUGCAUGAUGCAUGAUCUGAGACUGACAAUAGUUAAGUCUUCCCCUGUAGUCACAGAUCCUAACACAUGUGAGCACUGAGGCUUCACCCCUACUCAAAGGAAAGUGAUUAAGGAUGCUGGAACUCCAAGGAGCCAGUUGAUGCCCUGGGUGGAGUUUCUUGGUUUCCACGAUAGGGUACAGCCCUGAAGUCCUGCCAAAUGGGGUGGCAGACCUGUAAUCCUAGCAACUCUGGAGGCUGAGGCAGGAGGAUUGCAAGUUGGAAGCCAGACUCAGCAACUUACUGAGACCCUGUCUCAAAAUAAAAAAUAAAAAGAUCUGGGGUAUGGUUCAGUGGUUAAGCAUCCCUGGAUUCAAUCUCCAGUACCCAACAAGCAAAACAAAGAAUCAGGCUGAAAAGCCCUGCCCUGGCUACCUGCAAAAGACAGAAGGCCAGCAGUUCCUGUGUGCACAUCUGAUCUCUACCUGUCCCACAGGUGAAGUGGACAGCUGAAUCUUGAUGAGGACCUGCCUGGGGCAGCAGGACAGAGUGCUAUGAGAGCUGUGAGUGGGGAGGGAACCUGGAGUAACUGAGAGGAGGGCACCAAACCCACAUUCCUCCUGCUCCCCAAGGGGAACCCAGGCUUUCAGUGCUAAGUGCAAGAGCAGGUCAACCACAGCAGAGUCUGUGGAUGUUAAAUAGACUUUGAAGAGGAAACAGAGGAGUGCGCGGCAGAUAUUGCAGAGGUAAGAGUUGUAUGUGUUCAUUCCACAAAUAUUUCCUGAGCAUCCGCUACAUGCCAGACACCAUUCUAGAUACUAUGGAAUCUAGCAAUGAGCACUGAUGUCUCACAGACAGUCCUCUUGCUUGAGAGUUGACUGUUUUGACUCCAGCCAAUGUAAUGUAAAACCCAGACCCUUGACAAUCUUCCAAAAAAAGUAUUUUCUCACCAAACAUGGAGCAGAGGGUUAAUUUUACUGAAGAUUUACUGGGUCAUGAUGACAGGCAGUUGCUCCUCUCACAGCCUGGCUAUGAGGUCCUUCUCCCAAGUCUCUCUUGGCCAAGGGCAGGGGGGAAUCACCUCCCCUCCUCCAGCUCUAGCCCCCCUCCAGCAGUUUGCUUCACAGAGGUCUGGUGGUGUUCAAAGGGGAAAACAUUCCUCUCUUUGCUCUCUCACAGUUGGAGUCAGAAGGACACAGCUUCUUUCCCCCACACUCCUCCUUUCGGAUAUAAGGCCAUUGAUCAUAUCCCAUUUCUGCUUCUGGGGUGAAAUGAGUUCACACCUAAGAAUGGUUGUACCCAUAACAUUCUAGAACAAUGGAUUACAUCAAUCAGUGAUAGCACAGCUUCUACCUCACAGUGUUAGGUCAACCAGAAAACCAGGCUCCAUGUUUUAGACGGGUGGGGCGGGGGGAGUGUUGAGCUGCUGCCCUUUUAUUUUGGAUUGGAUAUACUUUAGCACCUCCUUCUCACUCUUUUGUUAAUAAAAUAAAACAAUAAACACACACUGCAAUAGAAGAACACUGACAGCCUGUGUUUAUGUGUUUAUGUUGCGUCUGUCUCUAAGAAGCUGCAACUGCUAUGUAGAUUUUCAACAAAAUGAGUUUUCCCUCAGUGUUGGGGGGUAUGAUAAUUAAGAACAAAACAAAACAAAAAAAGGAGGGCAGAUUCUUUCAAAAUAUGUCUUUUAAUUCUUGCUCUCUUCCUUUUUCUUUCCCUUUCUCUCCCCACUCCUCACCCCGCCACCCCUUAAAACAGGCAUUGACCUGCUUGUGGCCAUCUCUGACAAGGCCUAGACAGAGAAACCAGGUUCUGAAACUCUGUUCCCUGUAGGAAGAUUCCAUCAGAGUCAGCACACUGCUCUUUCCAUCAGUUGUUCCCAGUGGCUUUGUUCUUUUGCUCUGCUCUUCUCUCCCAGAAAAGGACCUCAGGGUGAGUAGAACCCCCUGAACACAGCACCUGGGGGAGGAACAUGUAAAUUAGGAGACUAAACUAGAGAACAGGAGAUGAAAGAAAACUAGAGAAUCUGUGUGAAUCUGGAAACAAUCCUCAUCUAUACAUUUUAAUCAGAAAUUCAGUCUUUUGGCUGAAAGUAACAGAAACACAUCUCUUAUUAGCUUGAGCCCCAAAGGAGAAGGUGUUGGCUCACAUAAGCUCACUAUGGAUACAGCAAGGAAGGAAUGACCAGGUUCAGGACCCAGCUGUCCUCUGAUGUGGCAGUAUCUAAUCUGACUUUAAAUGUGGAAAUGUGGAUACUAAUGCUACUUCUCAAAAUCCAGACUAAGGAAACAUACUGGAGGAUGUUACUUGAAGUAUUAUUUAUAGGGAAAAAUUAGGAAUAAUCUAAAUGUUCAUGUUUAAGCCAUGGCACAUUUUGUACUCUGAAAAUGUGGAAAUUGUUCAAAAGAAUGAAGUUAUAUACUAACUUAAACCCCUAAGACAUCUUGGUAAAUGAGAAAAGUAAUUUGUAGAAUGAUACAUACAAUAUGGUCUUGCUCAAGCAUCAGCAAAAACAAAAACAAAACCUUGAAAUAGUACUAGAUAUAUCUAUAUGUGUGCUUGCAACAUAUAUUUUUCUUUUCUUUCUUUGUACAGUGCUGGGGAUUGAACUCAAAGCUUUGUGUGUGUUAGGCCAGUGCUCUACCACUAAUCUAUAUAAUUAGACUUGUAUUUUAUUUUGAGACAGGGUCUCAUUUUGUUGCAUAGGCUGGUCUUGCACUUGAGAUCCUCCGCCUCAGUCUCCUGAAUAGCCAGGAUUAUAGGCCUAUGCCACUCCUCCUGCUUGCAAACAUAUCUUUCUAAAUGAAUGCAAUGCACAGAGAAAGGUCUGAAUUCACAGAUCUUCAUUUCCUCCAAACAGGUAAAUUUAAGGGGUUGGGAUUGAAGCAGAC
rnacentral:lncRNA from 1 species